UCCGAUAUGGUGUAGUGGUUAACAUCGUUCGCUCUCAUUGGAAUUCCUCCGAAAUCCGAUUAGCACCGAACAGCCCCGGGUUCGAUUCCCGGUGUCGGAA